rnacentral:rRNA from 1 species
GACGAACGCUGGCGGCGUGCCUAAUACAUGCAAGUCGAACGCAGUGGGGACGGGUGAGUAACACGUGGGUCACCUCCCAUCAGAGGGGAUAACACGUGGAAUCAGGUCCUAUACCGAUACUGAUGGAUGGACCCGCGGUCCAUUAGCUAGUUGGUGAGGUAACGGCUCGCCAAGGCCGCGAUGCAUAGCCGUCCUGCGGGGGUGACCGGCACAACUGGGACUGAGAAAGGGCCCAGCCUCCUACGGGAGGCAGCAGUAGGGAAUCUUCGGCAAUGGAGGAAGGUCGGACCGAGAAACGCCGCGUGAGUGAAGAAGGUUUUCGGUGCGUAAGACUCUGUUGUUAGAGCAGCGGUAUCUAACCAGAAAGCCACGGCUAACUACGUGCCAGCAGCCGCGGUAAUUC